rnacentral:rRNA from 1 species
CCUACGGGAGGCAGCAGUGGGGAAUAUUGGACAAUGGGCGAAAGCCUGAUCCAGCCAUGCCGCGUGUGUGAAGAAGGCCUUCGGGUUGUAAAGCACUUUCAGUGGGGAAGAAAGCCUUGGGGCUAAUACCCUCGAGGAAGGACAUCACCCACAGAAGAAGCACCGGCUAACUCCGUGCCAGCAGCCGCGGUAAUACGGAGGGUGCGAGCGUUAAUCGGAAUUACUGGGCGUAAAGCGCGCGUAGGCGGUCUGAUAAGCCGGUUGUGAAAGCCCCGGGCUCAACCUGGGAACGGCAUCCGGAACUGUCAGGCUAGAGUGCAGGAGAGGAAGGUAGAAUUCCCGGUGUAGCGGUGAAAUGCGUAGAGAUCGGGAGGAAUACCAGUGGCGAAGGCGGCCUUCUGGACUGAAACUGACGCUGAGGUGCGAAAGCGUGGGUAGCAAACAGGAUUAGAUACCCUUGUAGUC